rnacentral:rRNA from 1 species
CCUACGGGCGGCAGCAGUGGGGAAUAUUGGACAAUGGGGGGAACCCUGAUCCAGCCAUGCCGCGUGUGUGAAGAAGGCCCUCGGGGUGUAAAGCACUUUCAGUGAGGAAGAACGCCUGGUGGUUAAUACCCAUCAGGAAAGACAUCACUCACAGAAGAAGCACCGGCUAACUCCGUGCCAGCAGCCGCGGUAAUACGGAGGGUGCGAGCGUUAAUCGGAAUUACUGGGCGUAAAGCGCGCGUAGGUGGCUUGAUAAGCCGGUUGUGAAAGCCCCGGGCUCAACCUGGGAACGGCAUCCGGAACUGUCAAGCUAGAGUGCAGGAGAGGAAGGUAGAAUUCCCGGUGUAGCGGUGAAAUGCGUAGAGAUCGGGAGGAAUACCAGUGGCGAAGGCGGCCUUCUGGACUGACACUGACACUGAGGUGCGAAAGCGUGGGUAGCAAACAGGAUUAGAUACCCUAGUAGUC